GCAUCGGUGGUUCAGUGGUAGAAUGCUCGCCCGCCUGCCAGACACGGGCAGCCCGGGUUCAAUUCCCGGCCGAUGCA
rnacentral:tRNA from 1 species